rnacentral:rRNA from 1 species
UACGGAAGGCAGUAGUGGGGAAUAUUGCACAAUGGGCGCAAGCCUGAUGCAGCCAUGCCGCGUGUAUGAAGAAGGCCUUCGGGUUGUAAAGUACUUUCAGUCGUGAGGAAGGUGUUAAGGUUAAUAACCUUAGCAAUUGACGUUAGCGACAGAAGAAGCACCGGCUAACUCCGUGCCAGCAGCCGCGGUAAUACGGAGGGUGCGAGCGUUAAUCGGAAUUACUGGGCGUAAAGGGCACGCAGGCGGUUAAUUAAGUUGGAUGUGAAAUCCCCGGGCUUAACCUGGGAAUGGCAUUCAAGACUGGUUAGCUAGAGUCUUGUAGAGGGGGUAGAAUUCCAUGUGUAGCGGUGAAAUGCGUAGAGAUGUGGAGGAAUACCGGUGGCGAAGGCGGCCCCUGGACAAAGACUGACGCUCAUGUGCGAAAGCGUGGGGAGCAAAACAGGGAUUAGAUACC